AGCUGAGAAAACUUGGAUCUUCCUGGCUCUGUCUCUAACAGGGCGUAUCCCGUGUGUCUCCUUUCCAAUGUCAUUGAUGAUGUGUGCACUGUAAACAUCUCUUCUUUGUGUGUUUAGGGACUUGGGAACCGAGGGUGUGGCUUGCAUUUUUGGCUCCAGUUUGAAAAUUCUCAGGGCAGCCCACAUAGUGGUCAGAGCCAGGGGGUCUCUAACAGUAGGACAGGGGAACAGCACGCAGCCCCCUCCGACCAGAGAGGCUACUGCACACAGACCUCCUCUUUGGGUUCCUUUACUCGCCUGUGUUGUAUUCCUGCUUCUCAUCAGGUAUGGUGUGGCGGUCCAAGACUUCGCUGGCAGUUGGAGGAGUGGGCUAGCUUUCCUGGCUGUCAUCAAAGCUAUUGACCCCAGCCUCGUAGACAUGAAGCAGGCUCUGGAAGAUUCUACCCGGGAAAAUCUAGAGAAGGCAUUCCGCAUUGCACAUGAUUCCCUGCAUAUCCCCAGGCUCCUCGAGCCGGAAGACAUCAUGGUUGACAUGCCGGAUGAGCAGUCCAUUGUGACUUAUGUGGCCCAGUUUCUAGAGCGCUUUCCGGAGUUGGAUCCCGAGGAUUUUGUGAAUCCAGACAAAGAAGCCCCUAUCGAGUCCACCUUUGUCCG
rnacentral:lncRNA from 1 species